rnacentral:rRNA from 1 species
UACAGAGGCCCCAAGCGUUACUGAGAAUCACUGGGUUUAAAGGGUGCGUAGGUGGCGCGUUAAGUCCGUUGUGAAAUCCCUGGGCUCAACCCAGGAAUUGCUUUGGAUACUGGCGUGCUUGAGGCUAGUAGGGGUCACUGGAACUGACGGUGGAGCGGUGAAAUGCGUAGAUAUCGUCAGGAACGCCAAUGGUGAAGACAGGUGACUGGGCUAGUUCUGACACUGAGGCACGAAAGCGUGGGGAGCAAACAGG